UCGGGCUCAUAACCCGAAGGUCAUCGGUUCAAAUCCGGUCCCCGCUACCA
rnacentral:tRNA from 1 species